AGGCUACAAGUUCUUAGUAAUAAAUGCUUUAAACCUUUGUAGUGUUGCAUGUGGUAGGAUUGAUCUGUUUUAUGAGCUUGGAUUUGGCGAACCUUGGGAAGUUUGUUGAAUGAUGACCUUUUGUUGUUCCAGAAUGUGCUUAUUAUUAUUCACUAAGAGCAUCAAUUGUUUUCUAUGGUUUUGUGCCUAGACCUCUCAUUCAGAGCACUUCGAGGAAGAAAUCUUGAACCUUCGAAACACACUAUUGAAGAGUGAGCUAGAGAAAGAGAGAAUAGCUCUGGAGUUGGAAGAGGAAAAGAAAGACAGAGCUCAUCGUGAGAGGAGGCUAGCAGAGCAAGCAAAGAAAAUUGCUAAUCUCAGUUCGUUGGUGCUAUGCUCUGAAAAGGAUGAGAAAAGCACAAACCUGAGUAAGGCAUUGGGAAGUAAGAUACUUAU